rnacentral:misc_RNA from 1 species
GUGUUUUUGGUUUUAGGGUGCUUAAUCACAAUUCUACAGGUAUCUCACCAAGCAGCUGACCCAAGGUUAAAACAAUGUUCAAAGAAACUCGUGGAACAUAUCGAAAAGUUGGAUUUUAGGCAACCUCCAAAAUGUCUGGAUAAAGGCAAGUUGGCGAAUGUUAUCGAAGCGGUUGGAAUCUUCAAGACCUUCUACGACCGUCUCCCG